UGUUGAGUGCUGGUGUCACACUGGUGUUAAGUGCUGGUGUCAAGACCUGGUGUCACACUGGUGUUGAGACCUGGUGUCACACUGGUGUUGAGUGCUGGUGUCACACUGGUGUUGAGUCCUGGUGUCACACUGGUGUUCAGUCCUGGUGUCACACUGGUGUUCAGUCCUGGUGUCACACUGGUGUUAUGCCUCUGGUGCUGUAUCACAACACAGUUUUGCCACUCACACGGUGUACAUGCAGAACACAGUCAUGACACGGUCACAGCUGAAAGUGGAAGCAGCUGUGUCCUGUCCGACUCUGGACCUGUGGUGGCGGCAGUAACGCCCACACCUGCAUAUCCUCACAUAUACUACUCCGACUCUGGACCUGUGGUGGCGGCGGUAACGCCCACACCUGCAUAUCCCCACAUAUACUACACAAACAUAAGAGAAGGACCUGGAGGAUUUUAGUGGUAUGCAACAACAGAUGUCACAGAUCUAAUCUUCCACUGCAUUUCCUAUACGACAUUUGUCUGUGUUAAAGUUGUCUGAUAUUUCUCCAGAUGUUCGCCUGUUUGUACAUCGUGUGACAUAUGGUGUCAUAUUUUUCAUGUUAUUUACACUCACGUCAUCAUUUUCCACUGACCAGCAUUCAGUACUCCCGUCAUCAUUUGUAUACACAUCAUCAAGUUGAUACUUUAUUUUUACUUAUGAGAUAUUCUUAUAACAUUUUCUUUCUUACAUUUUGUAACUGAGCAUGUGUAGCGCUGUAUACUGGGAUCGUGUAAUCUUGUUUUGUAUGUACCGUGUCACGCCAUGUGAUCUUCACACUCAAUACCCAGGGCAACAUGAAGUGUUGUGUGGAUUAUCACCCGUUAAACUUGGUUGUGUUAUAACUUUGGGAAAAUGUAGCCAAAUGUCAGAUUUGGGGGAAUUUUUGAACAAUGUAUUCACACCACAAAGUGAAGCAAUACUUUGUCUCCACUGUGUUUCAAGCUUGAUGACUGAUGGAAUCUGGAACUACUGUAACCAUGGUAACAUCAUCAUGUGUCAUAUGCUGAGAACAUGUUAUCAUGGUGAUGUAAAGUCUGUGGAGAUUACUCUCUGAAGAUAGCAGCAACAUUGAGAUUGCUACCAGUAUCUCCCCAUUGCCGAUGACAACGUGAAACUUGUUGCCUUUCUGUGCUCCUGACGUUGAUUGGCUUCUGUUUGGGAUGGACUGAGAUUUCAUCUGUCAAAUCUGAGUCAAAUGGAAGGAGCUUCUGUUGAGCAUGUGAGCAAUUCUUGCUUACUUCAUGGUGACGAAAGCAAGUGUAUAGACGUCCUUUUCUACUGUUGGAUUGAAAACAUUGUCUGUGCUUGUAAUGUGGUAGUGGUGGCCGACAAUUUCACAAUCUUUAGGGGUUAUACACUGACACUGUGGGGGUUAUACACUGACACUGUGGGGGUUAUACACUGGGUAACCUAGGAUACGGUGGCCGGGGUGAUAUCACUGUUUUAUCCCAGCCACCCGGGUGUAAACACUGGGGAAUAUGUCGGUCACCAUGAUAAUAUAUACCAGAGAGAUUACAUCCCACCCAUUAACACAUUGUGUUACACACCAUGCUGGCUGUGUCGAUACAAUGUGUCAACAUUCAUUAGGAGGAUCAAGACACGUGGGAAAAACAGGAAAUGGAAGUUAAAUGUGUCCUUGCGGUUUCAUUUCAAAUGAUCUCUGCCAUUUUAGUGCAGAAAUAUGAAUUCAUAAUGGUGCUUCCUUUUGUGUGACAAAACUACUUCACCAAAUUCUGGAAUAUUACUGGUGUGGUACAACUGGAUUUUCUCAAAAUAUAUUCUGCUACUUUUUGUAAUUGUUGAAGGUUUUGAAAAGCCUUUGUGUCAUUGUGUCGUCUUGAUUGACUUGUCCCCCUGAUGGUUGCUAUGGUAAUAUAUGUACAUAUAUUCAUCAUCAUAUAUCUGUUAUACACGCUGCAGAACUAUUAGCGGUCAUAUCUUAUGUUAGAUUAUCAGACGUUAUGUUCCACGAUGAUGCUAGCUGUCUUCUGUCACACCUCUAGUCACAGAGCGAUGAGAUUACUCCGCCCAUCAUGCUUUCCUUCUGAAGGUCACCUCUUUUUCUUUUAAUCUGAUUUUAAUUUUAAUUUUAAUGUUAACACCCAAAUUACAAAAAUCAACUCUUUUUUCCGUAUUACGUUGUCAUUAUUUGUUGUGAAAAAAAUUGUUUUAUUUUCAUAAACCGACUUUAUGAUUUAACAUUAAAUGUUGAUUUGCUGCUGUUGGUUCCUUGCAGGAGAGAACAAUAUAACAGUUGUGUAGAAUGUUUCCAUUCAUAAUAUAUUUAUUAUUUUAGACCUUUAUAUUUUAUACUUACAUUAUUUUGU
rnacentral:lncRNA from 1 species